GCCCAGGUAGCUCAGUUGGUAGAGCAGUGGACUGAAAAUCCGCGUGUCGGUGGUUCGAUUCCGCCCCUGGGCACCA
rnacentral:tRNA from 2 species